AAACAUCAACAUAUUUAGGGGUUUUGUAGAAGAAAGAAUCUUGCUCUCACACACUGGAGGCGGAGAUGGAGGUGGAGAGGGAGGCAGAGAGUAGAGGGCAGAGGGCAGAGGCAAAGGCAGAGACGUUCACUUCUUCUCCCCGCCGUCGCACAUCGUCGCUUCUCUAUCUUCCUCAAAAUGGUGAGACCCACAUAUCUUGCUCUCACAAACUGGAGGCAAAGGUGGAGGCGAAGACGGAGGCAGAGAUGCUCACUUCUUCUCCCUGUCGUCGCACAUCGUCGCUUCUCUAUCUUCCUCAAAACGAUCUCUUAAAGCAUGGAAGCUCAAAUUUUGGCUCUGGAAGGCAAUGCUGCUACUAUUAGCACCAAUUCAAGUGGGGUUUUGUUCAAGAUGUACUUCCUCUAGUAGAUAUCAUAAAGCAUAGAUGCUCAAGUGCUGGCUUUGGAAAUUGGAAUGCAAUGCAGCCAAAGCUGCUAUUUGCAAUCAUUUGAUGUAUUUGUUUAUUUUGGGUGUUGAUGUAUAUUUUGGUCACCUAUUGUGUUGUAUACUUACCGUUUCUUUGUAACAAGAGUCUAUAUUAGUCAUAGAAUUAGUCUACUAGAUUUUUUUGUUAAUUAGUUGUUAUAAUAUUAAGUGGAUAUUGUAAAACCAGUUGUGGUUAAUAAAGUUCUAGAAGAUUGUUUUUUUUUU